GUGAGUCAUCGAAUCUUUGAACGCACAUUGCGCCCUCUGGUAUUCCGGGGGGCAUGCCUGUUCGAGCGUCAUUACAACACUCAAGCACUGCUUGGUAUUGGGUGUCACCUGUGUGCACCUCAAAAUCAGUGGCAAUACCCUGCGGCUUCAAGCGUAGUACAUUUCCUCGCUCUGGAGACCUGUCAGAAGCACUGCCAAAACCCCCUCAAAUCAUUAAAGGUUUGACCUCGGAUCAGGUAGGGAUACCCGCUGAACUUAAGCAUAUCAAUAAGCGGAGGA
rnacentral:misc_RNA from 1 species